ensembl:lncRNA
GGUAGAUAUCAGCUAGUGAAUUUUUAGAGUAGUCAUUCUAAAUUGAUUGCAUAGUUUGUGAUUAUUAUGUAAUCAAAAGAGUGGAAUGUAAUGGGAAAAUGAUAUGUGACCCUUUUAAAUGCUUCAUUUGUAUAACCAGUUUAUUAGUUGCAAGUGCUUAGGUCACAAAGGCCCUGACAUAAGAACUGAUGUCUCCCACUUGGAUUAGAUGUUUCCAGCGUCAUAGCUGUAGAGACUGAACAAAGUGUUUGUUAUGUCUAUGACCACCUUUGUUUAAGCAUGUUGGGAGAGCAAGGACACGGUCAAAGAACUGAUGUGUCUCACAUGGACAAGGUGUUCCCAGUACCCUGGCUGUAGAGACUCAACAAGAUGGUUAACGGUCUCUGUUGACGCCACCGAUAUCUAAGUUUAGGUAUAAGAACUGCCUCGAUGUGUUGGGAAGAAAAGGAGGUUCUUGACAGUCUACUGACCACGUAGCUGUUGGGACCCUUUUUCCCUUGCAAGGAAAUAAACGGAGAAAAGACAUACUUGACUCAGAGCCUUUGAUUCUUACUUAACGAUUGUCUGUGCAAAAUCUUCCACCACAGAAAUGUCAUGAAAUUCUAUCUUUAGUCAUAUGAAGGGGGACAAUGGUGAGAAAACGUACUUUUGAAUAAAAAUCUGAUUUUUUUCUAAAUUGGAGUAAUUAGACAUUCUAAUGGCUGCAGUUGACACGGUACAGUGGUGUAGUGGUUAGCACUCUCGCCUCCCAGAGAGAUGCCUCGGGUUCAACUCCACCCUGUGGAGCCUCUGUGUUAGGUAGUGUAGGGUAAGCGACCUUGGGGUUCGCUCCAUACUUGUAAAAGCAAUGGAAAAUUUUUUUUUUAAAUUCCGCAUCUGAAAAGAAUCCCCAAAUAUUUUGCAAAAUGUCAUGAAAUUCUAUCUUUAGUCAUAUGAAGGGGGACAAUGGUGAGAAAACGUACUUUUGAAUAAAAAUCCGGAUAUUUUCUAAAUCGGAGUCAAUAGACAAUCUAAUUGCAGCAGUUGACACAGUACAGUGGUGUAGUGGUUAGCACUCUCGCCUCCCAGACAGGUGCCUCGGGUUCAACUCCACCCAGUGGUGCCACUGUGUUAGGUUGUGUAGGCUAAGCCUGCAUGGGAUUCACUCCAUACUUGUAAAAGUAAUGAAAAAAGUUUUUUAAAACUUCCGCAUCUGAAAAGAAUGCCAAAAUAUUUUGCAAAAAGUCAUGAAAUUCUAUCUUUAGUCAUAUGAAGGGCGACGACGGUGAGAAAACGUACUUUUGAAUAUAAAUCUGAAUUCUUUCUGAAUUGGAGUCAUAAGACAUUCUAAUGGCAGCAGUUGACACGGUACAGUGGUGUAGUGGUUAGCACUCUCGCCUCCCAGAGAGAUGCCUCGGGUUCAACUCCACCCAGUGGUGCCUCUGUGUUAGGUGGUGUAGGCUAAGCCUGCAUGGGAUUCACUCCAUACUUGUACAACUAAUGAAAAACGUUUUUUAAAACUUUCGCAUCUGAAAAGAAUGCCAAAAUAUUUUGCAAAAUGUCAUGAAAUUCUAUCUUUAGUCAUAUGAAGGGGGACAAUGGUGAGAAAACGUACUUUUGAAUAUAAAUCUCGAUUCUUUCUGAAUUGGAGUCAUAAGACAUUCUAAUGGCAGCAGUUGACACGGUACAGUGGUGUAGUGGUUAGCACUCUCGCCUCCCAGAGAGAUGCCUCGGGUUCAACUCCACCCAGUGGUGCCUCUGUGUUAGGUGGUGUAGGCUAAGCCUGCAUGGGGUUCACUCCAUAAUUGUAAAAAUAAUGGAAAAAACUUUUAUUAAACUUCCGCAUCUGAAAAGAAUCCCCAAAUAUUUUGCAAAAAGUCGAGAAGUUUUAUCUUUAGUCAUAUGAAGGGCGACGACGGUGAGAAAACGUACUUUUGAAUAUAAAUCUGAAUUUUUUCUAAAUGGGAGUCAUAAGACAUUCUAAUGGCAGCAGUUGACACGGUACAGUGGUGUAGUGGUUAGCACUCUCGCCUCCCAGAGAGAUGCCUCGGGUUCAACUCCACCCAGUGGUGCCUCUGUGUUAGGUGGUGUAGGCUAAGCCUGCAUGGGAUUCACUCCAUACUUGUAAAAGUAAUGGAAAAAAGUUUUUUUUAAACUUUAGCAUCUGAAAAGAAUCCCCAAAUAUUUUGCAAAAUGUCAUGAAAUUCUAUCUUUAGUCAUAUGAAGGGGGACAAUGGUGAGAAAACGUACUUUUGAAUAAAAAUCCGGAUAUUUUCUAAAUUGGAGUCAAUAGACAAUCUAAUUGCAGCAGUUGACACGGUACAGUGGUGUAGUGGUUAGCACUCUCGCCUCCCAGACAGGUGCCUCGGGUUCAACUCCACCCAGUGGCGCCACUGUGUUAGGUGGUGUAGGCUAAGCCUGCAUGGGGUUCACUCCAUAUUUGUAAAAUUAAUGGAAAAAACUUUUUUUAAACUUCCAAGUCUAAAAAAAAUGCCAAAAUACUUUGCAAAAAGUAAUGAAAUUCUAUCUUUAGUCAUAUGAAGGUGUACGAUGGUGAGAAAACCUACUUUUGAAUAAAAAUCCGAAUUUAUUCUAAAUUGGAUUCAUAAGACAUUCUACCGGCAGCAGUUGACACGGUACAGUGGUGUAGUGGUUAGCACUCUCGCCUCCCAGACAGAUGCCUCGGCUUCAACUCCACCCAGUGGUGCCUCUGUGUUAGAUGGUGUAGGCUAAGCCUGAAUGGGAUUCACUCCAUACUUGUAAAAGUAAUGAAAAAAGUUUUUUUAAACUUCUC